UACGUAGGUGACAAGCGUUGUCCGGAUUUACUGGGCGUAAAGAGCGCGCAGGCGGUCGUUCAAGUCGAGUGUGAAAGCCCCCGGCUCAACUGGGGAGGGUCACUCGAUACUGAUCGACUCGAAGGCAGGAGAAGGAAGUGGAAUUCCCGGUGUAGUGGUGAAAUGCGUAGAUAUCGGGAGGAACGCCAGUGGCGAAGGCGACUUCCUGGCCUGUUCUUGACGCUGAGGCGCGAAAGCUAGGGGAGCAAACGGG
rnacentral:rRNA from 1 species